rnacentral:snRNA from 1 species
UCUCUUCUUUUUAUGAAAGGAUA